GAUGAAGAACGCAGCGAAAUGCGAUACGUAGUGUGAAUUGCAGAAUUCCGUGAACCAUCAAAUCUUUGAACGCAUAUUGCGCUCGAGGCUUCGGCCGAGAGCAUGUCUGCCUCAGCGUCGGUAUUACCCCUCGCUUCUCAACCCCUGGUUGAUGCCUGCCUGCCUUUGCAGUUGGCUAGAAGCGGAUCUGGCUUUCCCAAUUGCCUUUGGUAGUUGGGUCAGCUGAAGCACAGAGGCUUGAGCAAGGACCCUUAUUGGGCUUCAACUGGAUAGGUAGAACUGGUCUUAGGACCAACUACACGAAGUUGUUGCUUGCGGUCUUUGUCUGGAGGCCAGCAGGAAACCUUUAUACCUUCGACCUGAGCUCAGGCAAGAUUACCCGCUGAACUUAAGCAUAUCAAUAAGCGGAGGA
rnacentral:misc_RNA from 1 species